rnacentral:lncRNA from 1 species
UUCAUAGUCUGGCUUGGACUAUAGACAAUUUGGCUCAAGCCAAUAAACUAUUAAUGUUAGUUUUUUGUAGAAGAAAAUUUUAGAGACAUUCACUUUUUUAGAGAGUUGUAUAUUGAUUUUUUCUUUUUGAUACAUUGUUGUUUUUUUGAUAAUUUAUUAAGAUUAAGCUCAGUCCCAUGGCAUCUCAUGGCAGUCCCAUGGCAUCUCAUGGCUAUACUCCUUCUUGGAUAAACGUUAUAUCAGUUAAGCCUAGUUUAGUCCAAUAAACUUGUCCCCUUAUCAUGAAGCUUAGACUAAUUGAGAGCCCAUUUGAUAUUGUUUUCAUUUUUUAUUUCUAUUUUCAAAAUCCCAAGAAGAAAGCACAAUAGACAAACAACCUGCAUGAUAGAAACCAUUUUGCAUUUUCAAAUUUGUUUGAUCAAAACUUUCUCAGACUUUGGAAACAUAAACUUAUUGCGUUCGAAAAUAAAUGAAAACAUAAUGAACGUAUAGUUUUGAGUCUCAUGGGAAUGCUGUCAGCCACAUCAAGCUCCAUGCUACUUUUUGCUAAUUUGUGGAUAAAGAAAGUCACAAAAAUGAUAAUAGUAUCAAACAGAUCCAUAGUGUUUAAGCUAGUAUAGCAUUUAGGUUUGGUAACCGUGACUUGCUUUCUUUGAUAAUUGCUAUGCGUACUCUAGAGUUGUAUUCUAGAGUUUUUAUGUUAUUGGCUGAUGAAUUGUCUUGCUUUUCAAGGCUUAGUUACCAACCUUCCAUUCAAUAGUUGAUCAUAAAAUCUAGCUUGCAGCUUUUCAAUAGACUUGCAAGGGCGCUCUGGUGGAGAACCUCCGGAGGAGGAGGAGGUGGAGAACCUUCGGAGGCACUUUGCGAUGGUCCUCAAAUUGUCGGAGGACUAAUCAAAGCCGGUAGGCAGCCUUGGGAGAAAGUUGCAGUCGUUAUUUGGAGCCUUGGUCGAUGGGUUCUGUUGAAGUGGGUGCC